AUUGAACGCUGGCGGCAGGCCUAACACAUGCAAGUCGAGCGGAUGAAGGGAGCUUGCGCCUGGAUUCAGCGGCGGACGGGUGAGUAAUGCCUAGGAAUCUGCCUGGUAGUGGGGGAUAACGUCCGGAAACGGGCGCUAAUACCGCAUACGUCCUGAGGGAGAAAGUGGGGGGGCGUCGGACCGCAUGCUAGCAUAGGAGCGGAGGUGGGAGUAGUUAGUUGGUGGGUUAAAGGCCUACCAAGGCGACGAUCCGUAACUGGUCUGAGAGGACGGUCAGUCACACUGGAACUGAGACACGGUCCAGACUCCUACGGGAGGCAGCAGUGGGGAAUAUUGGACAAUGGGCGAAAGCCUGAUCCAGCCAUGCCGCGUGUGUGAAGAAGGUCUUCGGAUUGUAAAGCACUUUAAGUUGGGAGGAAGGGCAGUAAGUUAAUACCUUGCUGUUUUGACGUUACCAACAGAAUAAGCACCGGCUAACUUCGUG
rnacentral:rRNA from 1 species